GACGAACGCUGGCGGCGUGCUUAACACAUGCAAGUCGAACGAUGAAGCCGGAGCUUGCUCCGGUGGAUUAGUGGCGAACGGGUGAGUAACACGUGAGCAAUCUGCCCUUGACUCUGGGAUAACUGCGGGAAACUGUAGCUAAUACCGGAUACGACACCUUGGGGCAUCCCAGGGUGUGGAAAGAAUUUCGGUCAAGGAUGAGCUCGCGGCCUAUCAGCUAGUUGGUGAGGUAAUGGCUCACCAAGGCGACGACGGGUAGCCGGCCUGAGAGGGUGAUCGUCCACACUGGAACUGGGACACGGUCAAGACUCAUACGGGAGGCAGCAGUAGGGAAUAUUGCACAAUGGGCGAAAGCCUGAUGCAGCAACGCCGCGUGAGGGAUGAAGGCCUUCGGGUUGUAAAACUCUUUUAGCAGGGAAGAAGCGAAAGUGACGGUACCUGCAGAAAAAGCACCGGCUAACUACGUGCCAGCCGCCGCAGUAA
rnacentral:rRNA from 1 species